GAUGAACGCUGGCGGCGUGCCUAAUACAUGCAAGUCGAGCGAACAGACGAGGAGCUUGCUCCUCUGACGUUAGCGGCGGACGGGUGAGUAACACGUGGAUAACCUACCUAUAAGACUGGGAUAACUACGGGAAACCGGAGCUAAUACCGGAUAAUAUAUUGAACCGCAUGGUUCAAUAGUGAAAGACGGUUUUGCUGUCACUUAUAGAUGGAUCCGCGCCGCAUUAGCUAGUUGGUAAGGUAACGGCUUACCAAGGCGACGAUGCGUAGCCGACCUGAGAGAGUGAUCGGCCACACUGGAACUGAGACACGGUCCAGACUCCUACGGGAGGCAGCAGUAGGGAAUCUUCCGCAAUGGGCGAAAGCCUGACGGAGCAACGCCGCGUGAGAGAUGAAGGUCUUCGGAUCGUAAAACUCUGUUAUUAGGGAAGAACAAAUGUGGAAGUAACUAUGCACGUCUUGACGGUACCUAAUCAGAAAGCCACGGCUAACUACGUG
rnacentral:rRNA from 1 species